GCAACGGGUAAGGUGAGGUACACUUGAACAAAAAGGGUGUCAAUUUGAUUUAGUUAUAUGAGAGAAUGAGCAGAUUAGCAUAAUAUUUUAAUUUGUCUUUUCUGCAUCUGAUUAAUGUUUGUGGCACUAUAAGAUUCAUAAUCCAAGCAUAUUUGAGUACAUUUUCACAAGUAGGGCAUGUAUGUUGUUACGUAAGAUCUGCCACAAGAAAAGAACAACGAAUAGAGUAACUCUCUCUCUCGGUGUAUGUUAUGUCAAGUAAGAUGCGUUGUAUGCUAAAGAUGAUUGUGUGUGUGAACAUGCUUUAAUUGUGUGAGUAAGAUGCGUAGUAUAUCAGUUUCAUGCUUUAAUUGUGUGAGUAAGAUGCGUAGUAUAUCAGUUUCAUGCUUUAAUUGUGUGAGUAAGAUGCGUAGUAUAUCAGUUUCAUGCUUUAAUUAUGUUCGUUUGUGAACAUCAUUGGAUCUGGAUGAAAGACUGCCAUAUGAAGCAAACUUAUCUUUAUAGAGAUGUAUAAUUCCUUUAGCAAAUAACAAUUUCAAACUAUACCCCCUACCUCAUAGUUAAUAUUUUCAAUUUAUUUCUAUCUCCAUGACAGAUGUCGAUUUGAAGUUACCAUUCACGAUGAUACUCAUUUGGCGACAAUAACAAUUUCAGACAAAAUUGGAGAUGAUAUUUUAAUAAUUAAUGUGUUCAAACCUAAAGGCACAUCUAGAUUGAUCAGGUUGGGAUAUUGUUGAAUUGGGGUGAACAGACUGUCAAGAAAGGUGCCUGAAGGCUGAAAUGAUGAGAAGGGUUACGAAUAAAAAAACUAUGGCGUAGUAAUUUCUAUGUUCUAUUAAUUAUUUUAGAAUUGUAUCUAGAUCUCAUGAUCCAUGAUAAAGAGAGAACACUAAGACUUAAUAUCUGACCCUACCCAGUAAAAGUUUUCACUUGGAAUAUUAUUUUAGAACUGGUAAGAAGAAAAAGUUAAUUUAGUAGUGACCAAAUCCUCCGAGUUCAGUAAAUGUGAAGCUUUAGCCAAAUUGUCCUCUCGUUUAUGUAAGACAUCAUUUUUCUUCCCCAUUUUACAGGAACACACUUGCAAAAGAAAAGAUAUUUGAUAUUAUUUUUGAGUUCUAGAGAUUUGUGUAAUGUACAAAGCGGAUGCUUUUGGUUUCUGACAUAUAUGUAAAAUAUGAUCGGCUUCUUUAUUGCAA